CAGGGGCAUGGGGUUAUAUUUAAAUUUGCAGAGCUAUAUCAGUCUAGAGCUUUUAACCGCCACUUCAAGGUAUUUUCUUGUAAAAUGUAAGACACCAAUAAAGAUGGGGAAUUUAGGAAAUAAGCCCAAAUAUAAAUUGUUUUUAUUUGGCUCUACGUUAAUGGUCAUUUGCUGAGCUGGUCCUAAAGGCUUUAAAGGGUAAGAAACAACAUCCAUAGACAUAUUUCGAUCAGACGCCUUCCCCGCACCACUAGUUAGGCAAUGCUGAUCCCAUACCAUCACUUUCUCAGAAGUAAUUUUGAGAAGUUUAAUUUUCUUUUGGACCUUUUGGCCAAUUAGAGCCUGAGGGCUGGACUUAGGAGCAGCUAAUGGAGAAGUUAGUUUUGAAGCUAGCCCUGCCAUGUGGUAUAUUAAUUCUAAAAGGUACGUGACAUUUCUCAAUCACUACCACCUUGGCCUACCCUGACUGUAAUAAAGGCAAAAAGAACUCUGUAAUCCCAGAAGAAAGAAUGAAAACAAUAUCAAUGCACAGAUGAACUUUAAGCCCUGACUUACAUCUUAUAAGACCUCAAACUUCAAAAUUCAGUUGUAUCCUGGAAAUUGCAUCCUACAAUUGCAUUGUAUCCUGCUUGCAGACUGCGGGUUCUGAGUCAGGAAGAAGGGACUCUCUCUUUAGCCUUUGCAACUGUAGGUAAAUCGCUCUCUUAAAUUUGAGAACCAUGUGUUCCAAAAACAUCUAGAUCAUCCUUAUGAAUCAAUAUGCUGAGAGGCAACCAAGAAUCUUGAGGAGGCGUGUCAAUCCCACGGUGUGGUUCUGCUACAAUGUCUGGUCUUGGCUCUGGCGCUUUCCUUUGGUCACCUCUUGGGUGACAAUUAUGGGUUUUUAUAUCUCAGAAAACCUUUGGUGUUGCCUUGGCAAAUGUACAAGCAGGAGGGAAGCCCACUGGAGCAUCUUCAGUGGCCAGAGGAUUGGAGAAGAUCAGCCUGCAUCCCAAUAUCAAAGAAGGGCAGUGCCAAAGAAUGCUCCAACUACGCCACAACUGGGCUCAUUUCACAUGCUAGCAAGGUUAUGCUUAAAAUUCCAUGGUCCAUGGGGUCAUGAAGAGUUGGAUUCGAUUAAUGACUAAACAACAACAACAAUUCAACAUAAGAAGAACCUGCUGGAACAGGCCAGUUGCCCAUCUAGUUCUGCGUCCUAUUCUCACUGUGGCCAAGCAGAUGCUUAUGGGAGGCCUACAAGCAGGACCUGAGCUCUCUUCUCUCCUGCAGUUUCAUGCAACUGGUUUUCAGAAGCCUAUUGCCUUAUUGAUCUGAAAGGGAACAUCCUGUAAUCAGAAGAAUGAUGAAUCUAAGGUAGCUCUCUGGGUGCUGUUGCUUCUUCCUGGGAUGUAACCAGUCCAGCGUGGUUAUCUGACUCAGUUUUGAAUUGAUAGGUAGGUAGCUUUGGUAUCAAAAUGCACUGAACAAAAGUGGGUUCACCAUCACGUGUGACUGUCAAAUUCUACAUGCUCAUUUUGUCCAGAAGUGGGUCCCAUAUUAUGAGUCCUAAAUAUAAUGGGUGAACAAACCAUAAAAUGACUCACACAAUGCUGAACUCUUUAAAAACAACAACAACUAUAACACCCUCAAACCCUUCAUGUUGAAAUCUUUAAAAAAGAAGGUAUGCCCUCCUCACUCAGAUUGCCUUCUAGCUGUGUUUUGAACUAUUUCCAUCAGCUACAAAACACGUUAAAGUUUGAUUUGUCGACACAGCUUGAACUUCCCAUCAGCAUUUUACAUCACUGAAAAUUGCAGUCUGUCGGAGGAUUGGCUGCUAUGACACUUUGUGCAUCUGCUUAAAAAACACAAGCAAUUGAGGCAAGAAUAACCUCAAAUCCCCCCCCCCCCACAGUAUGUUAAAGCUUCACAACAAGGUCUCUUUCGAGUUUAACCAUAAAUAUGUAUGAUUCAGGCAACCUAGAACAGCAAUCUUGGUAUAAUGAUGACGGAGGCUAAGAAGACUUUUGUGGGAUGACCCUGGAGCCUCUGCUACCUUCACUAAGGUGGGCCACUUUUUUUAUAAAAAAAAAGAAGGAAGAGGAGAAAGAAGCCUUAUUUUUAACUUACAGUGUGCAUAAAAAAUGAUAUUUGAGUUUUAAGCAUGUUAAACGAAAGUAGAAGUUGGCUGUAUUAUGGAUGCAUGCUCUAUAUUAUUUUAUUGAUAUUAUCGUUAUGAAUUUGUGAUGGCCUUCACCUAGAACAAUAAACUUAUUGACUGAUCGAGAAGAAGUUGGGUUUUUUUCCACGGAGUCCAGGGCUGGAUCUAAAUGCAUUGUAAACUUUGUAUGAGAAACCGGGUUAGCAAAAAUGAAACUCCACAGCGCCAUCUGGUGUCAGUGUUAUAAUGCACAUACAAUGCAUAUAAAGCGCUUUUGCUUUGCCAAUAUAGCUGAGUCCCGGUUAACACAAACUAAUGAGCGUAUUGGGGGUCUGAGUGGAGUGAAUUGGUGCAGAAUGUGGCACAAGAUGAAUUGUGCAAUAACUUCACCUUGCAGCCAACUCACAACCCAAUGCACAACACAUAGCUGCUGCAAAACUGCUGAAAGGAACCAUUCCAUCAGUUGAAAUCCUAAGAACAGACAAGGCUAGAAUACCUUAAUAUGCACCAGCAGGACUUCCUUUUUGAAGCUUCCUUCUCCCCAGAUGUUUGCUCUGUCCACUGCUCUGCCUGUAUGCAUAGUUUUGGGGGUAGCAAUUUUUGGUAGGAAACUGGCAUGAGGAGAAAGGGUUAUGUCUCCUCCUCAGAUUUCAGCAUCAGAUGCCUCCUUUUCUAAGACACAUGGAUCAUGUAAAAAUCAAUCAUGGGACUAUAUGCAAUGCAUAGCUCCACCUCAAGUAAUUUCAAACCUUUAUAAGUCAAUGUUUCUCAAAUUAAGAAACCACCAGAAGGCUAAGACAGAUUCAUAGGGGAAUUAGUAGCCUAUCGGAGAUGGGUUGUGGUCAUAUGAGGAAAUGAAAGGAAAGAUUUUUCUUCUGGGUCAGAAGUUGCUGGAACGGGAAUCAAUUGGUGCAUUUCAGAUAAAGACAAUUUCUGUGGACUGAUGCCCUUAUAAAAAUGAUUGGGAAUGGCUACAUUAGGGGAACAAGUUCUGUAGAGUAAUCAAUCCUUUCUGCUAUGUACUUAUACCUCACAUCCUAUGAGAAUCACUUCUAUAAAUAGAAAUAUCAUUCAAGAGCAGCAAUAUUCUGCUGGCAUUUACCUACCAUCCUGGCCCCACUGAGCAGACCUGUACAAUAAUCUGCUUAUCUUUUCCAAGUGUACCAUGUACCAUUUGCUUCCCCCAGAAAAGAGUGUCAGGAAAUGGAAGUUGUUGCAAAUCAGGAAGAGAAGCUAUGGAAGACUCUGCCUGGGAAACUGGUUUUAUACCUACUCUGAAAGUGGAUUAAUCGCUUGACCAUAUGAAUGAACUGAUUUAUGUCUUCUUCUCUAGGAACUUAAGUUUCAGUCACAUCUGUGGCAAAACACCACAUGCAGCUGAAAAACAGGCAUGACAAAUGCCUCAUGAAGUUUCACCGAAAGGGAAAUUUCACUCCAAAGACUCAAACCACAGCACUGAGCUGAAAGUAAUAAGUUUUUGAAGAAAACAGGGGAAAUUCUGCUAGUUCUACUUAAGUAUUAUGUUUCAGGUGACAUGAAUGCUACAUUUCAGUCACUUGUGGUCUGUGAUGGCCAAUUCAUACAGUCAUCACAUGAUAUUGCAGUCACAUCAAAGUCCUACUCCAGCUGACC